AGCAUGUCUAAAAUUCUGGUUCAACAAGAUAAUAUGUUAGUAAAACUAGUUGUUGUUUUUUUUUAAAUAAAUUUUCUUCCAACAAGCACAUUUGCCAGUAGAACUAAACAUUCGUACAGGUCUUAAACGCAUCUCAAGAAAUGUAUCAAAAGUCACUUGCAGCAGGAGCACGCAGAAACAGGAGCCAGGUCAAGAAACAAGUCUUGUAAUUGGAGAUAACAGCAUUUUCCGAAAUCUUGGGAAACAUCAUAGAAGAUAAUGAUCAGCAAAACAAAGGAAGGAUGAGGGAAGGAAAGGAACUUGAUGCAGUGACCCUAAGAUCUCCAAGUGAGAACCAAGGAGAACCAUCAAAGCAGUCUAAGCAGGCAGGAAAAACUGGCAAAGAUCAGGAUGUGAAUAGACCAGCUAUUGAACCUACAUCUCAUCGACGGCUUUGGAGUAAGGCCGAAAAGGCAGCAGUAUGGCAACAGCUUUGCCAAUAUGUAACCUUAGAGAGUUCCUGGUAAAGAACCAUGUCUUGAGGCACUUAAAGUUGAGCCUGCACUGAGAAGCCAAACUUGGAAAGACAUAAAAAACAAGUUUACAAUACUAUUACUGUUCAAAAGCCGAAAAAACAUUCUACAUUAGAUAUGGUCAAUCUUACAUUGUUUGGUUAAAACUGCAAAAGAAGUUGUAAGCAGUGCAUAUUUGGCAAUGGUCCUUUGCCUAGUGUUUGGACAGCAGCAAAAAUAUGUAAUUUUGUUCCAUAAACAAAUAAAAUAGUUUGCAUUCGG